rnacentral:rRNA from 1 species
CUGCACGCCAGUGCGAUAAGGGGAUCCCAAGUGCGUAGGCAUAGAGCCUACGCUUUUGUCCACCCUAGGGUGGUGGACGAAUAAGGGCUGGGCAAGACCGGUGCCAGCCGCCGCGGUAAUACCGGCAGCCCGAGUGAUGGCCGAUCUUAUUGGGCCUAAAGCGUCCGUAGCUGGCCGCACAAGUCCAUCGGGAAAUCCACCUGCUCAACAGGUGGGCGUCCGGUGGAAACUGUGUGGCUUGGGACCGGAAGGCGCGACGGGUACGUCCGGGGUAGGAGUGAAAUCCCGUAAUCCUGGACGGACCGCCGAUGGCGAAAGCACGUCGCGAAAACGGAUCCGACAGUGAGGGACGAAAGCUAGGGUCUCGAACCGGAUUAGAUACCCGGGUAGUCCUAGCCGUAAACAA